CGGCGAUGGUUAGUGCUCUCUACAGUGGCGCACAGGUGGGUGACACGUGCGUGACCUCCCUCUAGGGGGGAUAACGUGCAAAAGGGGCGCUAAUACCUCAUAACAUCCUGUUUUUGAAAAGGGGGAAUCAAAGCCGGGGAUCUCUAGACCUGGGGCUUGAAGAGGGGCCCGCGUCUGAUUAGUUGUUGGGCGGGUAACGGCCCACCAAGGCACCGAUGAGGUCCGGCCUGAAAGGGCGGACGGAACCUGGGACUGAUACACGGCCGGGACUCCUACGGGAGGAAGCAUUGGGGAAUUGUUCUCAAGGGCCGCAACCCUGACAACUCAACGCCGCGGGGAGAAUGAAGACCUUCCGUUCGUAAACUCCUUUAGACCGGGAGAAAAAGCUUCCGGGUUAAUAUUCCGGGCUAAUGACGGCCCCGCUAGAAGACCCCCCGGCUAACUCCGUGCAACAGCCGCGAUAAUAAA
rnacentral:rRNA from 1 species